GCCUGGGUGGCUCAGUCGGUUAAGUGUCUGACUUGGGCUCAGGUCAUGACCUCACGGUUCAUGGGUUCGAGCCCCAUAUCGGGCU
rnacentral:tRNA from 1 species